CAGAAGCUACUUGAGGCCCAAGGGAAAGGAGAGAGCUCCUCUCCAUCCACUGAGCAGGCAGCCAUCCAGACACAGACCUCCCCAGGACAACAGACCAAGAGAAGUGUUAGCAUCGCUGUUGGCACAGGUGCUAGUCUGUUCUGGGGCGUCCCUGUCGAUGCCCCUGCUCGCGAUGAGGAGCGCCCACAGCCAGAGUGGCACACCGACACAGGGCCUGGCGCUCCCGAUGGCAGCAGGGCCUCCUCUAGUCGGAGCUCUGGCAGUGCCAGCCUUACCCACAGCAGGCACAUAGAUGGCUCGGAAGAAGAGAGCGGGGUCAGAGAGAGACGGGUGUCAGGCACACCAUCCAACCAGUCAACGCACCAGAGGACUCAGUCAGCAUUUGGAGACUGUUCUUUCCAGAGUCCAGUGUUGGGG